CCUACGGGGGGCUGCAGUGGGGAAUAUUGGACAAUGGGGGGAACCCUGAUCCAGCCAUGCCGCGUGUGUGAAGAAGGCCCUCGGGUUGUAAAGCACUUUCAGUGAGGAAGAACGCCUGGUGGUUAAUACCCAUCAGGAAAGACAUCACUCACAGAAGAAGCACCGGCUAACUCCGUGCCAGCAGCCGCGGUAAUACGGAGGGUGCGAGCGUUAAUCGGAAUUACUGGGCGUAAAGCGCGCGUAGGUGGCUUGAUAAGCCGGUUGUGAAAGCCCCGGGCUCAACCUGGGAACGGCAUCCGGAACUGUCAAGCUAGAGUGCAGGAGAGGAAGGUAGAAUUCCCGGUGUAGCGGUGAAAUGCGUAGAGAUCGGGAGGAAUACCAGUGGCGAAGGCGGCCUUCUGGACUGACACUGGCACUGAGGUGCGAAAGCGUGGGUAGCAAACAGGAUUAGAUACCCCUGUAGUC
rnacentral:rRNA from 1 species